UGCAGCCGGAGCGCGGCGGCGGGAGCAGCUGCUGCAGCCGGCAGGUGGGGUGGGGGCCGGCGGAGCUGACCACGCACUCGGCCCGGCGCGGUGGCACUGCGGCCCCGGGGCAGCGGGCGCUGGGACUUGCGCUGACUCCAUCCGGACAAGUUUCUUGACUUUCUGGAAGGCCUGGUUUUCCCAAAAGAGCAGUUUCUGGUAGAAGUCCAAAGGUGUGAUCACGAAAAAAAAAUCAAGUAUAGCCAAUGAAUUAAGGACAAGAAGGUUUCCAAUCAGUCCCUGCUAUGUGGAUAUUUGUUAGCAAUGACUGAUGUGGAAACUACAUAUGCAGAUUUCAUUGCUUCAGGAAGAACAGGUAGAAGAAAUGCAAUACAUGAUAUCCUGGUUUCCUCUGCAAGUGGCAACAGCAAUGAAUUAGCCUUGAAAUUAGCAGGUCUUGAUAUCAACAAGACAGAAGGUGAAGAAGAUGCACAACGAACUUCCACAGAACAAAGUGGGGAAGCCCAGGGGGAAGCAGCAAAAUCUGAAAGCUAACACCCCACUUUGAUAACUUCAGCAACAUCUGACAAUGUCUCAAAUCUCCAGGCCUGGCUGGAAUGCAUUUGUUUCCAAGAGUGAAAACGGGGUGGGAAAAAUAGCUGUGCUGCAUUGUAGGAAUCUGCUCAUUAUCAUGUUAAAAAUGGGGGCAGAGGCUGUGGCUGCAGACAGACUUUUCUCUACCUCUGUCAUUAGCAAUGGUUGAAAUCAUGUGACUUGUGUUUGGAUGUCAUUUUUAUAUGGAUCCUUUCACUUGACCAUAUGAUAAAAUGCUUGUAGACAGUAGCACUGACCUAGAUGAUUCUUCCUGUAGCAUCUGGCCCCUCACAAUGUCAGAGGAUUUAAUUGUGUCUAAUUGCAAAGGGUUGGUUGAACCCCAGAGUUUAAAUAUCUCUGGUCUAAGUAUUCACCCAGUAAAAGAACCAUCCAGAAAGCACUGUUUUUAGCAUUAUGUAUCUGUGUGUUCCUGCUGUGUUAUUUACACUGUUUUGUAUUGUACAAAAUAGACGCUCAGCACUGCCCCCUUCUUUGAUCGCUUAUGAGAAACAAAAAUAAUGUAUGUGACUGUGAAUUUUUAUACCACUCAUUUUUAAAAGGGCUGCCUUUUUCCUUCUCCACAGUGUGGUGGUGUACACAGGAUAGAUCACACUUUUUUUUAACUUAACCUUUCCCCUUGAUUCACUGUUGAUGAAUUAAGUCUAACUAAUUCAUCAAGACUUUUUUGCUUUAUUAUAGAGGCAUUUGAAAAUAUCCGCUAAUGUGAAUUUUACUUGAAAUUCAGUCUGUUUGGUGUCUGCACAGACCAGAAUUCAUUAUGCAAAUUUUGUUUUAUUUUCAAUUGGAGAACUUUCCCCAAUUAAUAUAUUUUUUAAAAUUUUUUAACUAUGAGGAUUUUGGAGAAUCAGGAUGGUGGGAAAGAUAAGAUAGUAUUAAGAACGGGAAACAUUUUGUUCUUAUGGAAUCAAAUUACUCAGUGCCGUAUGCUACUAUUUAAAUUUGGAGGACAGCUUAUCUGGAUGGAGCUAUAACAGAUGGAAAAAAUUAUCUUGCAGUCAUGUGGACACCAAUCACAAAAGUAAAGCCCUUGCAUUGUGUUUUUUCAUGUCUUUUUUCAGCCCUAUCAGAUACAAAUGUUAUUAUGCACUUUUUAAUGUUUGUAAACUUUUACUAAUAAUUAGUGUGAAUUGCAUUCUGAUACAAUAAUAAUUAUCAUUAGAAGCUAACAAAAUCCUCAUUAAUACUGUUGAUAGCCUCUGCUGUGUUUUGACAUCUCAUGAUUCUUAUAUGGAAAGUUUCUGUGAGCUGUGUAAUCCCACUGGUCAGUAUUAUAAAAUCAUUUAUCAGUAGUAAUAAAUAAGGAACCGGUAAUAUGCCAAUGGCUCAUGGGUUACUGGACAAAUAGCAGAUAACAGGAAGACCCUUUACAAUAAAGGGCCCACUUAAAUUAUCCUCGAGGUCUUAGAUACAGUCCCAUUUGAGGUAGGUUAAGCAGCAUUUCCACAGAUAAUCUCCAUGGAUAUAUGGGGAACUCAGCCCUAAGAAAGGUCAAUCUUCCCUCAUCCCCCAUUACAAUACUUUCCAAAUGAGUAGGAUAAGGGCAAGGGUAUCAUUCAGUCCUCAAUCAUACGUUACUAGAAAAAAUGUUAAUAGUGUAAGUCUCUCAGAAAAUAGUAAAUAUUAGGGUACUUCAUUCUAACCAGUUAGGGUCCCAAAUGCCCUAUUAAAAUUCAAAGAAACCCACCUAUUAAUAGACUCACAAGUGGGAAGAGAGGUUCCUGAGGCUUUUUUAGACAAUCUCUGGUAGUCCAUUUAAAAUAUCCAACCCAUAAAAUCACUUUUUCAGUAUCCUCAUUUGCUACCCUCAUAGCUUUCUUGUGAAUCUAGGUAAAGUUCUCUCCAUCCUUAAAGUUGUGGAAUUCCAAACUGAUUACAUGUGAUUUUGUAAAGUUUAGGACUAGUGCUGAGUGUAUGUGGAGAGUUUUUAUUCCUAUGUGAUAUACUAUUAUUAAUGCAUGUGGUGUCAUGCUUGUCUUUGAAUAUAUAAUAGUGCUAAAUUGCAAAGUCAUAUGGAGCUUUUGAAUUAUUUUGACCUCUUACUGCUACUUUGUCUGCUAUAUUCAAACCCAGAGGCAUUCCCAAGCUAGAAGAUAAAAAUCUACUUUCCAAAAUGUCCACAUCCUACAAUGUUGCUCAGCAAAAGUUCACAGUGUCUUCCAAAUUGUAUUGUCAUAUCUUUUACUUGCAAGUCAAUAAUAUACAUGGAAUUGAAUUUUUAAGGACAAAAGGAAAAGGUAGAAAACUAAGGCGUUAGGUUUGAGGCUAUGCAUUGAAUGCCCACUAACCAAUAACAUUAUGCUAAUCACUUCCCAGCACAUUUUCUCCCAUUUAAUAGUUUCUCCUCAGAGAAUUUGAUUAAAGAGGUAGUGUUAUCCCAUUUCACAGAUUCAGAAAUUAAGGCUCAAUAAGGUAUAACUUUUCCAAGUUUAAAAAGCUAAUAAAUGUUGAAAUUAAGAUUUGAACCUAUCUUUGUCUUUUUCCAAGGAGCUUUCUAUUGCACAUGGCCAUAAAAUUAAAGCCAAUUAUAGAGCAUCUUUAUCUGUAAGGGAACAUUUAGACAUGAACUGGUUCAACCUCCAUAUUUUAUAGAGGGAAACUGAGUCUCAGAACAGGGAAUUGUCUUUCUCAAGGUUACCUAGAUAAGUAAUGACACAGAUGUGACUAGAUCAUAGAAAGUACACUUUGAAAAAAAAAAAGAAAUUCAAUUAGAAUUUAUUUUUUUGUGUUAUACGUUCCCCCAAAUAUUUUUCUGUCAUGAAGUCUAUAAAUUUGGCAUGGUUGAGAUUUUUUUUUAUGUUCCAUGCUACUCGUUUUGUUUAAUUAACUAGAAAUAUGAAAAUUUCAGUUUUACUCAUUUGCAAUAAGUAUGAACUUGUCAAAUUUACCUUUUAUCAACUGUAAACAUCCUAUGCCAAUAUAUUGUUCUCAUAAUUCAUAGAAAUGUUUUUCCAAUAUAUAACAGGCAGUCUUCAAUUUUUAGGCAACAUCCCAAGAACUGCCCAUUGUAAAUGCCCUACACCUGAGUUUUACUCAGACACAGUGAAGAUGCACCAUUUUAUAAGAUGAAUGAUGUUGCUCUUUCUCUUCAGAGAAGCAAUAAUGGGUAAAGAAAUGUAACUGCCAGGUAGCCUAGCUUCUGAGUAAAGCUUGUAGCAAUAGGAAGACAAUGUAUAGUUAUCAAGUAAACAGAGGAAAGCAUCUAUGACUUAUGAUGUCUUAAUAGGCCCCAAAUUGUUCUUUAAUUAAAGAGUGGCAGUCUCUGAAGUCAUUUGUGAGCUUGUAUGACUUUUGUAUUUAGUAAUGUUGCAUGCUCACAUAAUUGGUAUUAAAAGUAAUACAUUUUUUCUGAAA